rnacentral:lncRNA from 1 species
AAUAGUUUGUAUUUACAUGGUUGAAACCCACUUUCCUACUUGGAUACUUGUAAAACAUUGUUUUAUCUUCCACAUCUAGACGCCCAGUGUCACGGACACAAAAUACAGAUUUGAAAUCUAACAAGAAGUUCAAGAAGAAGUGGCAGAACUAGAUUAAACAGAUGAGUACAAGAACAACACCAGAAAGGUGAGCUAGAACUCCAAGAGAUGUG